rnacentral:rRNA from 1 species
ACUCAAAUGAAUUGACGGGGACCCGCACAAGCGGUGGAGCAUGUGGUUUAAUUCGACGCAACGCGAAGAACCUUACCUGGGUUAAAUCACAGCAGAAAAGCUCAGAGAUGAGUUCGCCCCGCAAGGGGCUGCUGUGAAGGUGCUGCAUGGCUGUCGUCAGCUCGUGUCGUGAGAUGUUGGGUUAAGUCCCGCAACGAGCGCAACCCUUACCACUAGUUGCCAGCAUUAGGUUGGGCACUCUAGCGGAACUGCCGGUGAUAAACCGGAGGAAGGUGGGGAUGACGUCAAGUCAUCAUGGCCUUUAUGUCCAGGGCUACACACGUGCUACAAUGGCAGGUACAAACCGUAGCAAAGCAGUGAUGUGGAGCCAAUCGGAAAAAGCCUGUCUCAGUUCGGAUCGUAGUCUGCAACUCGACUGCGUGAAGUUGGAAUCGCUAGUAAUCGCAGAUCAGCACGCUGCGGUGAAUACGUUCCCGGGUCUUGUACACACCGCCCGU